AAAUUUUAAGUUUUAUUAAACAUUAUACUUUCAAUAUAAAAAAAUAAAAAUUUA
rnacentral:tRNA from 1 species